UACAGAGGGUGCGAGCGUUGUCCGGAAUCACUGGGCGUAAAGGGCGCGUAGGUGGCUUUGUAAGUCGGGGGUGAAAUGCUGCGGCUCAACCGCAGCGCUGCCUUCGAGACUGCAAGGCUGGAGCACGGUAGAGGCCGAUGGAAUUCCCGGUGUAGCGGUGAAAUGCGUAGAUAUCGGGGGGAACACCCGUGGCGAAGGCGGCUCUCUGGACCACUACUGACGCUGAGGCGCGAAAGCCGGGGGAGCAAACAGG
rnacentral:rRNA from 1 species